CGGGUAGCUGGUUUGAGAGGAUGGUCAGCCACACUGGAACUGAGACACGGUCCAGACACCUACGGGUGGCAGCAGUCGAGAAUCAUUCGCAAUGGGGGAAACCCUGACGAUGCGACGCCGCGUGGAGGAUGAAGGCCUUAGGGUUGUAAACUCCUGUCAAGAGGGAAUAAGCAAGUGAAGGUACCUCUAGAGGAAGGGGCGGCUAAUUCCGUGCCAGCAGCCGCGGUAACACGGAAGCCCCGAGCGUUGUUCGGAUUCAUUGGGCGUAAAGGGUGCGUAGGCGGCGCGGAAAGUCCGGCGUGAAAGGCAGGGGCUCAACCUCUGGACUGCGUUGGAUACUUCCGUGCUUGAGGACUGGAGGGGAGACUGGAAUUCACGGUGUAGCAGUGAAAUGCGUAGAUAUCGUGAGGAAGACCGGUGGCGAAGGCGAGUCUCUGGACAGAUCCUGACGCUGAGGCACGAAGGCUGGGGGAGCGAACAGGAUUAGAUACCCUGGUAGUCCCAGCAGUAAACGAUGUGAGCUUGAUGUGGGGGGAUUCGACCCCUUCCGUGUCGAAGCUAACGCGAUAAGCUCACCGCCUGAGGAGUACGGCCGCAAGGCUAAAACUCAAAGAAAUUGACGGGGACCCGCACAAGCGGUGGAGUAUGUGGCUUAAUUCGAUGCAACGCGAAGAACCUUACCUGGCCUUGACAUGCAUUGUGUCGUCGGUGAAAGCUGGCUAGUCCUGGAAACAGGACGCUUUGCACAGGUGCUGCAUGGCUGUCGUCAGCUCGUGUCGUGAGAUGUUGGGUUAAGUCCCGCAACGAGCGCAACCCUUGUGGUCAGUUACUAACCGGCUUAGCCGGAGGACUCUGGCCAGACUGCCCUGUCAAACGGGGAGGAAGGUGGGGACGACGUCAAGUCGGUAUGGCCCUUAUGGCCAGGGCUGCACACGUACUACAAUGCCCGGUACAAUGUGAACCGAAACCGCGAGGUGGAGGAAAUCGCUCUUGAAAACCGGGCCCAGUUCGGAUUGGAGUCUGCAACUCGACUCCAUGAAGUCGGAAUCGCUAGUAAUGGCGUAUCAGCAACGACGCCGUGAAUACGUUCCCGGGUCUUGUACACACCGCCCGUCACAUCAUGGAAGUCUCCUGUAUCCGAAGCACGUGCGCCAACCUUUCAGGAGGCAGCGUUCGAAGGUAUGGGAGGU
rnacentral:rRNA from 1 species